rnacentral:lncRNA from 1 species
UCUAUUGUGAACACUUCAGGUUUACUCAAUAGCUUGCUGACCUUUGCUUAGCCAUGUACACAUUUCACUGGGAAUUUCCAAUGCUUUUCUCGCUAAAAAUCGUGUUCGACAAUAUUUCCUGAUCAUUAACACCUGUGUACCUAAAUCAUAGAUGAAACACAUCUUCUACAAGCCAAGAAUACAAAAACUAUACCUUUUCAUAUAAGCACAUUUUUUUUUUUGUCAGAUUCAUGUGAAAGACGCUUUUAAUAACUCCUGGUGUUAGAUACUGCUGCUCUUACCUGCUAAUUCCCAGAAUUACUCCCAGAACUCUCAGUCCCAUCUUUUUGUGAAUUGUCUGUGGGAACUACAUUCAAUUGUGCAUCUCUUUAAGGGCAGUCCUUCUCCUGUUUGUCCCAGUUUUUAAAUACAGCAGAACUUUUCAGGUGUUAAUCAACAAGAAGAUACAGAGAACCUGCCUCUGAAGAUUGCUAUAAAAUGGAAUACAUUUUAAAAAGUGGAAUAGAUUCCUUCCAAAGGAAUUAAAAUAAAUAAAUAAA